GCCCUCACCCCACACGAGCGCACACAUGCGCGCCACUCAAUAAGCGAUGCCUGCCCUUCGCUUCAUCAUCAUGGAGGAGAGGUAGGUCGUGAACACGCCCGCACACACAGACCGGACACAGCUGCUCGCGCUCGUAAAGGCGCCACGGGCGGGUUUCACACCCCAUGCAGCUCAUUGCGCACGUGUGUGUGUGUGUGCCUGGGCUUGUGCACGCUCGGUUUCGAAAGCCGGCCGCUGAUGUCUAUGCGGCGAUAAGCAUAUCGAACAUCUGCGGCAUGGCUCUCCCCGUUACCGCCAGGAACGUCGCUGCUGUGGGACCUCCUUCCACCCUAGCUUGUGGCAACGCAAAACCGGCCCACGCAGGCGCCAAGCGUGCUACGCCAAUCGACAAACCGGCCGAUCCAGCGGGGAGCCGACCAGGCUUACGGUGACCGACUCUGCGCCGUCCUGCGCCCCCUCCGCGGCCGCCACCAUUGCUUCCACCGCAUCCCUUGCCCCGUCAAAGGUGCCGGUGGCUCCUCCGACGUCUCCCAACGCGGCGGGUGACAGCGACGUCGCGCGAACCGAGCCCCUCACCGGAGAGCCUUCUGAAGCUCGGACGCAGUCAUGCUCUCUCGCGGUGGGCUCGGAAGCAUCCCUGUCCUCCACGCAUACAUACUGGCCUAGCGGCAGUCUUUCUUCCGCGACCCAGGGGUACAAACGCAAGUGUGCGCAUAAUCGCCGUCAUGGACGGCGUCAGAGAGGCCGCAGC
rnacentral:misc_RNA from 1 species